CGAAAUUAUACUGAGAAAUUGUCGUUUUUUCUUUGGAUUUGGUUCUGUUUUGCUGCUUUCCCUGAACACCCUUACAACCAUAUGAAAAUGCAGAAAUUUAAGAGCGGAAAACAAAUUAAAUGAAGAGAAUAAUGGUGAAGCGACUGAUUCUUCAAAGGCAAACACAUGCUUUAUUCCGUCAAAUUGGUAGCUGACCUUCAGGGGAUUCAAUGGAUCAUGCCAACAGAUGUGAAAUUAGUGUUAAGCAGUUGGCGAAGUCAGAGGAUGAAGAAAGUGAAGAAGAGGACUCGUAGGACCAUCCAUUAUGCAUUUUAUAACAUGUUUGGCUCAAGAGGAACAAAAGAUGUUUUGGGGUGAAGGAAGAGAAUAUUUUGUUGCUGAAGAAUAGAUGCAUUCAAAGUUUAAAAACUUGGUGAAAUGCUGAAUUUUCUUAUGGUCUUUAUGUAAUGCUGGAUUUUCUUGAAUCCUUACAGCUUUAGAGGAUUCCAAUCUAGUUCUGUUUGUUGAACUUUGUCUCAGUACCAGCUUGGUAUUGAGUUUCUAUUAAUAAUACUUCUACUUAUUAAAAAAGAGUACUAUGAUAUACUAUGUCAGGUUGUCAAAGGUUGUAUUCCACCAAUUCAAUGGAAAUUAGUUUAUCUUCUUGUA